rnacentral:rRNA from 1 species
UACGAAGGGGGCUAGCGUUGUUCGGAUUUACUGGGCGUAAAGCGCACGUAGGCGGAUCGUUAAGUCGGGGGUGAAAUCCUGGAGCUCAGCUCCAGAACUGCCUUCGAUACUGGCGAUCUUGAGUCCGGAAGAGGUGAGUGGAACUCCUAGUGUAGAGGUGGAAUUCGUAGAUAUUAGGAAGAACACCAGUGGCGAAGGCGGCUCACUGGUCCGGUACUGACGCUGAGGUGCGAAAGCGUGGGGAGCAAACAGG